rnacentral:rRNA from 1 species
AACGAAGGUUGGUGGCAGGCUUAACACAUGCAAGUCGAACGCCCCGCAGGGGGAGUGGCAGACGGGUGAGUAACGCGUGGGAAUCUACCUAGAACUACGGAACAACUGAGGGAAACUUCAGCUAAUACCGCAUACGCCCUACGGGGGAAAGAUUUAUCGGUUUUAGAUGAGCCCGCGUAAGAUUAGCUAGUUGGUGGGGUAAUGGCCUACCAAGGCGACGAUCUUUAGCUGGUCUGAGAGGAUGAUCAGCCACACUGGGACUGAGACACGGCCCAGACUCCUACGGGAGGCAGCAGUGGGGAAUAUUGGACAAUGGGCGCAAGCCUGAUCCAGCCAUGCCGCGUGAGUGAUGAAGGCCUUAGGGUUGUAAAGCUCUUUCAGUAGGGACGAUAAUGACGGUACCUACAGAAGAAGCCCCGGC